UACGAAGGGGGCUAGCGUUGUUCGGAAUUACUGGGCGUAAAGCGCGUGUAGGCGGGUCCUUAAGUCAGGGGUGAAAUGCCAAGGCUCAACCUUGGAACUGCCUUUGAUACUGGGAAUCUUGAGUCCGGGAGAGGUGAGUGGAACUGCGAGUGUAGAGGUGAAAUUCGUAGAUAUUCGCAAGAACACCAGUGGCGAAGGCGGCUCACUGGCCCGGAACUGACGCUGAGGCACGAAAGCGUGGGGAGCAAACAGG
rnacentral:rRNA from 1 species